UGACUGGAGCCCGUCAAGCAUAUGGAUCAGGGCGCCCCACGAUUCAGGCCGCCGCGCCGCCAACGGACGCCGGGGACCACACCGCCGCCCCUUCCCUCCCAGCGCCGGCGCGCCACGUGAGCCCUUGACUCCAUCCCUCCCCCGCCGCGCGUCAACGAUUCGGCCCAGACAUGGCGGCGGAGGGCGACCAAGUCAGCGAUCCAGACCGCGACCUGGGCACGGCGGCGGAAAGCGCGACGGCGGAGGGAGAAGCCGUGAUUGUCGUGCUUCCUUCGGCGAGCUCAGCUGCGGCAUCGUCGGCGUGGCCACAAGGGAAUAUGGCAUCAAAAGUAUAUGGGAGCCCUAAAUUGUAGGGGAGGUUUGGCAGAGAUUGAAGGGGGUUAAAUCCCAUACAAGUCAAAUACCCCCCAAAUCCCCUCCAAUCCCCUUGGGACAGGGUGUAAUUAACCGAACAAAGCCUUAGGAGUCUCUUUUCAUUUCAGAUUAGUUUCCAUGACACACCUCAUCUCAUGGCCUCCUAGACAGAUCUCUUGCAGUAAAACAUAGAUAUUUGACUUCAGCAAGACAUCAAAGCAUUUCCAAAUAACCUCGAGUCUACAAUGACUUUGUAAUUAAAAUUUAUAUGCACUCACCUUCCUCACUGGCUGAGCCACAGCUUGAGGAGGGCGUCUUCCUGGAAGCACACGUUGCUGGACAAGGGAGCCUCCUACUGCCGCUACCACCUGAGGCCUAAUGAGCAAGAUGCUCUCGUCGUCACACGCCUCUCAGCUCGCACUCGCACCGGCGAGCCUCUGUGGCCUGCUCUUAAUUUAGGGCUCAGCAGAUUGGGAGAGAAAUGAGUAGCAGGUUACUGUCAUGGAAGGGUCGUUGCAAGGGUCAUCACCAUUGUCGAAAAAGCUACUGCCACUGUCUCUGCUUGUGGCUGCCAUGGAGGUCGCUGCCACCGCAGCCAAGGGGAGAUGGUGGGAGGACAUGGAGGAAGGUGGCAGGAAAUUUUGUAGCUGCCACACGACUCUCUCUUGUCUACCGGAAGAGUCCAAUCUGUAUGCAGCACGUGGCCUAGUUAGAAAUAAAGAUUAAAAUCACGGGCGAAACUACAGCGAUCGCGGCGCAAUCGCUGGUUGGAAGGCUCCGCGCAACGCUAUGCCACUAAUCCCGUGAUCUGGCGCUAAUCACACGAUUGCGGCGUGAAACAGCAUGAAAAGCCUUUGUUGUCCCUGGAAUUUUGCUGGAACAGGCCAAAACAUAGGCCAAAACCAAGCUCGGCCCAUCUUUUUCCCGAUAGAGUAGCUCCUCCGGGUAACCUAGCAUGCUCUCCCCAUUCCUUCUCUCCCUACCACCGAAAAGGUUGUGGCGGCUCGGCGGCCGGCGGCAGUGACAAACAAGCGGCAAGGCGGUGACCAGGGAUCCGGCAAGCUGGAGGUAGUGACGGGUGAGGCGGCAAGGCGAUGAGCAACAAGUCCAAGAUGGCAUCUCCAACUCCCAGUAUGCCUGCAGAUACAUCUAGAUAUACGCAAGCCCUCUGUGCUCCGUUUGCUUGAGACCUUAAUGAACGUGGUGUUUUGGAAUUGGUGAUGCUUCUUUUUAUUGAACUGCUGCAGACCUUGAGACAUUAAAAGUGGUGAACUAGUGAUCCUUGGGACCUUGAAUAUAUAUCGAAUAUUAUGUGGUGAAUUGGUGUCUGUUGUAGACCUCCAUUUUGCUAGUUAUGUCUGAAUUUCUACUGAAGAUCCCAUGUUUUCUGCUGAAAAUCCUCUGUUUCUGGGACAAAUAUGCACAUAUACUAAUUGCCGCAAUUGGCUUAGUGGCCGCUAUCUCCCGCUAUAGCAGCUGUACCGUUUGGGAGGGCCAGCCGCUAAACAGUUUCUCCCUCGAUCUUAAACUUUGGUUAGAAAUAACGAGUUGAGGAGAAAUGUGUUACUGCCCAACCUUUGCAGACAAUGCGUUGAUCGUGGAUAGCCCCGGAGAUGCCCCUUUGUUUGGUCCUUAAUAG